GAUGAACGCUGGCGGCGUGCCUAAUACAUGCAAGUCGAGCGAACGGACGAGAAUCUUUCUUCUCUUAUGUUAUCGGCUGACGUGUGAUUAACACGUGGAUAACCUACCUAUAAUACUUGGAUAACUUCGGGAAACCGGAUCUAAUACCGGAUAAUAUUUUGAACCGCAUUGUUCAAAAGUUAAAGACGUUCUUGCUGUCACUUAUAGAUGGUUCCGCGCUGCAUUAGCUAGUUGGUAAGGUAACGGCUUACCAAGGCAACGAUGCAUAGCCGACCUGAGAGGGUGAACGGCGACACUGGAACUGAGACACGGACCAGAAUACUACGGGAGGCAGCAGUAGGGAAGAUGCCGCAAUGGGCGAAAGCAUGACGGAGCAAAGCAGAGUGAGAGAUGAAGGUCUAAGGAUAGUAAAACACUGUUAUGAGGGAAGAAAAUAUGUGGAAGAAAAAGUGAACAGAGUGACGGUAACUAAAAAGAAAGCAACGGCUAACUACGUG
rnacentral:rRNA from 1 species